UACGAAGGGGGCUAGCGUUGCUCGGAUUUACUGGGCGUAAAGGGCGCGUAGGCGGACAGUUAAGUUGGGGGUGAAAGCCCGGGGCUCAACCUCGGAAUUGCCUUCAAUACUGGCUGUCUUGAGUGUGAGAGAGGUGUGUGGAACUCCGAGUGUAGAGGUGAAAUUCGUAGAUAUUCGCAAGAACACCAGUGGCGAAGGCGGCUCACUGGCCCGGUACUGACGCUGAGGUGCGAAAGCGUGGGGAGCAAACAGG
rnacentral:rRNA from 1 species